rnacentral:snRNA from 1 species
GUAUGUGAGUGCAAUCUGGCUGUGACAUCAGUUCCCGCACUGAUUGACAGCAGUGAGCAGACUGAUGUGACUGGCCAGGAGGGCUGUCUCCUUCCUUCCUUCCUGUCCACAUUCAUCUCGCCCAGACCCUCAAGCUCUGUCCAAAGGGAUGGCAUGGCCUUCCCUAGUGCAGAUGGACCAGCCUCCAGUUCAUGCUACCGGCGAAGCUCCUCUGUUCUCCUGCAACUCUCACCUGGAUGUGCACCUCCUUGAGCAAAGGUGAGGGAACACUAUGGUGGAGACCAUCUUACUUUUGCCAAUCUCCCUGGUGUCAAUACUCCCAUUGAGGCAUUAGUG